rnacentral:rRNA from 1 species
GACGAACGCUGGCGGCGUGCUUAACACAUGCCAGUCGAACGGAAAGGCCCUGCUUUUGUGGGGUGCUUGAGUGGCGAACGGGUGAGUAACACGUGAGUAACCUGCCCUUGACUUUGGGAUAACUUCAGGAAACUGGGGCUAAUACCGGAUAGGAGCUCCUGCUGCAUGGUGGGGGUUGGAAAGUUUCGGCGGUUGGGGAUGGACUCGCGGCUUAUCAGCUUGUUGGUGGGGUAGUGGCUUACCAAGGCUUUGACGGGUAGCCGGCCUGAGAGGGUGACCGGCCACAUUGGGACUGAGAUACGGCCCAGACUCCUACGGGAGGCAGCAGUGGGGAAUAUUGCACAAUGGGCGGAAGCCUGAUGCAGCAACGCCGCGUGCGGGAUGACGGCCUUCGGGUUGUAAACCGCUUUCGCCUGUGACGAAGCGUGAGUGACGGUAAUGGGUAAAGAAGCACCGGCUAACUACGUG